AUGGUGAAUCGCGCCGAAAACGUCAUCGGAGGGCUCGGUCCGGUACAUCGCGGAGGACGAUGGUGUUUAGCCAAAUGGGCGUUGUGGUGUUCGUCGACCGUUCAUGAUGGUGUCGUGGUCUGGCCGGUGGAGAUGCUUCUUGCGGUCGUCGGUGGAUCUAUGACCGGAGGUUGGUGGCUGGUGUUGCGUCCCGGAUCCGGUGAGUUCGGCGACCGGAUGUUGGCUGCAUUUGCGGUUUCGAUUGUUUACAGAUUUUCUUGUCACUAUUCUUUACUCUCUCUUUGA